rnacentral:rRNA from 1 species
UGGGGAAUAUUGCACAAUGGGCGGAAGCCUGAUGCAGCGACGCCGCGUGAGGGAUGAAGGCCUUCGGGUUGUAAACUCCUUUCGACAGGGACGAAGCGUAAGUGACGGUACCUGUAUAAGAAGCACCGGCUAACUACGUGCCAGCAGCCGCGGUAAUACGUAGGGUGCGAGCGUUGUCCGGAAUUACUGGGCGUAAAGAGCUCGUAGGUGGUUUGUCGCGUCGUCUGUGAAAUUCCGGGGCUUAACUCCGGGCGUGCAGGCGAUACGGGCUGACUUGAGUGCUGUAGGGGAGACUGGAAUUCCUGGUGUAGCGGUGAAAUGCGCAGAUAUCAGGAGGAACACCGAUGGCGAAGGCAGGUCUCUGGGCAGUAACUGACGCUGAGGAGCGAAAGCAUGGGUAGCGAACAGGAUUAGAUACCCUGGUAGUCCAUGCCGUAAACGGUGGGCGCUAGGUGUAGGGGGCUUCCACGUCUUCUGUGCCGUAGCUAACGCAUUAAGCGCCCCGCCUGGGGAGUACGGCCGCAAGGCUA